GGGAUGGCGUCCCAUUGGUCAAAACGGAGGCCGCUGCCCAGUGAAUAGGAGCCGGCAGCACACGGCGUGCACUCCUGGAUGCUCAUCUCUAAAUACUUCCCGGCCGGACAGGAAAAAGCUAUGACACAGAGAGGAAAACAAACCAAGAUGCUGCGUCCAGGCUGAGCGCUGCUGGCGCAACAAUAGACCCCUGACAGCAGCGUUACCCGCCCGGUCCUCUCUCCUCCUCUGCGGGUGAUCCUGCCCCGUCUGACCGGCAGACGGCUGCCUGAGCGGGGAUGAGGGCCAGCAGACAGCGUCAUCUCGUUAUGGAGCGUGUUCAUUGUGAACAGUGAACAGCAUUGUAAGCCGAUCAGCAGCGUGAGGAGGACACUGUUGAGCCCGUAUAAAGCUGUAAAACGUCUUGUAAAUGUGUUGUCUGGUGGUGCAUUAUAAGAGAAGCAUCUGGA